AAGCCACACCUUCCCAGUUACAUC
rnacentral:siRNA from 1 species